UUUAUUAUAAUCAAAUGAUCCUACGGCUUAACAUUGAUAGGAUUUGUAGCUGACGUCGACACGGUCAAAUUAUUUAUGGUAUAAAUUUACCAAUUUACACGUUUACAAUCUUAUUGACAUCUAGAGGAACUAUAAGACAGUGCUUAAAACUGAUACGGGGUUGAAAUCAAUCAUUACAUUCUGAAUACGGGUACCAGGUUUAACUGUUGCUAACAGUCAGCGAGUUUGUGGGUAUCCCAACACCAAGGUGCCCGGACAUUUAAUAAUGAAACAUAGAUUUGUUUUUAUUGUCUUCUGUGCUGGACUUUGCUGCCUUGUGACCGGAGUGCCAUUAAACUCGUUAUUAUCAAGGGAGCGGCGACAUUUUGCAGAGUUCAAAACAACAGAUUAUGCCACACGAAUAGCAUUAGAAAGACAGUUCAGUAAAUGUCGGUUGAUAGGAUGUGGACUGGUGGAUAUAGUUGCAAGUGGGAAAAAGAAAAGAAAUAGCCCUUUUGUUGGACAGUUUUCAGACGAAACGAGACAGUUUUUGAUAUCUAAAAUUUUAGAAAAAGUAAAAGAAUGAAGAGAAAAACAAACAAACAAAGUGUAGGCAUACCGUCCAAGGAACUGUUUAGUUUCUGAAGAUAGCUUUUUUCUUACAUCUUUACACUUUCAAUAAUUAUCACACGAAACAUUUUGCUGUGAAAUGUGUUAUUUCACAAUGUCAUAAUUCCACAAUGUAGAAAUAAAAAAAUUACAAAUAGUAGAAAUCAAUAUUUCUUGUAACAUAUGGAACGAUUUUAUGCCUUUGUUAUACAACUAAGCCUUUUUUUAACAGCAAGCGUUAUUUCUUUAAAUUGAUAUAUCAUUCUGAAAUUUGCUAUCUUAAGAUUUAAUGUAUACAUCCAUCGUACAUGUUAAUCAAACUUGACUAGCAAAAUCAUAAAUAAUUUUACGUCUAGACAAACCGAUUUUGAAUACAAUAAAUCAUAAUAUUUGGUUUUUGAUGAAUCAUUUCAAACCUACAUGUACUCAACACUUAAGUUUCAAAUAUUUUAAAUGCACGGCUAAAAAUUUAACUGUCUCGAAAGAGGGAAACCGUAACUCACUAUAUGCAGUGGUAGAAUCUAUACAUAUAUUUUACUUUACUAAAGCAACAAUUUGGUUUAUCUAUUUGGAACUUUUAAAAUAGAAAAUUGACCUUUUAAUGAAAAAAAUCUCCAGUUUGGAGAAUUUAACGAUAUUUAAAACGUUAUUUUCAUAAGUUUACGAAAUAUUUUGAUAUGUGUCACAAAAAAAUUAAAAAUCUUAGUUACAGUUUAUGUAUGAGGAUUAUAAUUGUAUGUUUAUGAAAGCAAAUGUUUAAACAACAUAAGAUAUAACGAACAAAAUUAAAGAUGAAAGAACAUA